UGAUCUUCCAUCUGGUUCAAAUAAAACUUUCCUUCCAUGCUCUUAUUUAUUAUUACCUUAAACUUCUCUUCUUUGGUUCCCCUCCUAACCUUCAGAAGCAUAGCAAAUUUGGUGGAAUCUUCACUUACCUGCAGUGACCAGACCAAAAUUUUUCAACGGCAUGUCAGCUUCUUCAAUGAAACUAGAACAGAGAGAGAGAGAACUUAACUAAUGAAUUUGCCAAGAAUUUGAUGAUAUAAUUAAAAUUGGAUAUUUCCGACCUCAGCCUUAGCUAGAAGGAUCUGUAGCAGUUCAUACGGGGAUAGUGAGUUAGACCUCUGCUGGAUGCUCUUCACAGCUGAUGUGCCGC
rnacentral:lncRNA from 1 species